UGGCGGCGUGCCUAAUACAUGCAAGUCGAACGGUCUUUCUAUGGAAGCUUGCUUCCACUGAGAAGAUAGUGGCGAACGGGUGAGGUAACACGUGGGUAACCUGCCCAUAAGAGGGGGAGUAACAUCCGGAAACGGGUGCUAAUACCGCAUAGUUUUCUUGGUCGCAUGAUCGGGAAAGGAAAGACGGCCUUUGUGCUGUCGCUUAUGGAUGGACCCGCGGCGUAUUAGUUAGUUGGUGAGGUAACGGCUCACCAAGACGAUGAUACGUAGCCGACCUGAGAGGGUGAUCGGCCACAUUGGGACUGAGACACGGCCCAAACUCCUACGGGAGGCAGCAGUAGGGAAUCUUCCGCAAUGGACGAAAGUCUGACGGAGCAACGCCGCGUGAGUGAAGAAAAGGUUUUCGGAUCGUAAAACUCUGUUGUCAGAGAAGAACAAGUUGGAGAGUAACUGCUCCAGCCUUGACGGUAUCUGACCAGAAAGCCACGGCUAACUACGUGCCAGCAGCCGC
rnacentral:rRNA from 1 species